CUGGGUUUGUGUUUGGUCAACCAGAGGGCACGUGCUCUGUUCACCCCAUGGGCCCCUAUUCACCAACCUUG
rnacentral:pre_miRNA from 12 species